GCGGAAGUGGCGGAAUUGGUAUACGCGUACGUCUCAGAAGCGUAUGGGGAAACCCGUGAGAGUUCAAAUCUCUCCUUCCGCA
rnacentral:tRNA from 1 species